UCCUUUCCUUUUCCUACCUGUGCGUCUUUCAAGCAGCAGUUUGUCCACUGUGCUAUAAUUAAAUAUGUAGUUAAUUAAGGUUUGUAAGGAAUGGUGGGAGGAGCAUUCUUUAGAAACAAUUAAUGCAAAAUGGUUUCGCAUCAAAAUUAGAUGAAGUUUCAACAUAAUAAAGAGGUUGGCCAUUUUCUAGAUUUUCAGUUUCUCCUUAGUCAAAAGGGAAAACGGGUUGAUCUGUUAGUUCUGAGGGCAGGCGUUUUGCAAUAUUCCGGCAGCUGACCCUUGUGCAAUCUAACUGAAGGUUGCUUUUGCAGAGCAUUUGGCCCAUCUCUUCUCAGCACAGUAUCACCAAAUUGAAUGUCCACAAAGCAAGAAGAUUAAAGUCAUGACAGAGGUCCUAGAUGGUGGCAUGUUCAGCGCAAGGACUCUACAAUUAAAGUCACAGAUAAACUUUUACUCCAGACUUUUUGAAAACAUUAAAAAGCCCUCAAAAUAUAAUUUCUAACAGUAAGUAUGUUACCAAUGAUCUAACUGUCAUUAAAAUAGCCAUAAUUUCAUAAAAUUCUGCAGUUCUUUUUAGUGCAAACAUUUUCAGAAGACACUGGUAUUUCGUGCAAAGGAAGGAAGGAAGGAAGGAAGGAAAAAAGGAAGAGAGAGAGAGAGAGAAGAAGAGAGAGAGAGAGAGAGACCCUGCAAUGGCAUGACACAGAAGAAGAGCACAAUGUAUUCUCUCCACAUUUUCUUCCGGAAAGUGCAAGCUACUUACUCUGCAUGGGAAACUGCCACUAAAAGACUGCUGAAUGGCAGCCAGUGACUUACAAAGAGGAUUCACAGAGGUGUGACGGGGCUGCGCGGGGUCAGAAGGCACCCUCCUCCCGAGGCAUCCCUCCCACCAUCUGUGGGAAUGACGGGGGGCUGCAGGAGGGGGCUGCCUCCCCUGGACGUUUUGCAAAAGGAGAAGAGUGCUCACUCUGCCAGUCCCAAGGAGCUGCUGGAAACCACAGACGGGUAAAGGGUUCCUCUGAGCCUUGGUGAGAUGUGUUGCUGUUGGCAGAAAAUCAGCCUGGAUUUGGCAGAAUGUUUUCAGUUCAUUACUGAAAAAUGGUGAACACAGCCUCUUAAAUGCAUUAAAAUUAGAAUUUUAAAAUUUUAUUCUAA